AGCGAACGCUGGCGGCAGGCCUAACACAUGCAAGUCGAACGAACCUUUCGGGGUUAGUGGCGGACGGGUGAGUAACACGUGGGAACGUGCCUUUAGGUUCGGAAUAACUCAGGAAAACUUGUGCUAAUACCGAAGGUGCCCUUCGGGGGAAAGAUUUAUCGCCUUUAGAGCGGCCCGCGUCUGAUUAGCUAGUUGGGUGAGGUAAUGGCUCACCAAGGCGAGGAUGAGUAGCUGGUCUGAGAGGAUGAUCAGCCACAUUGGGACUGAGACACGGCCCAAACUCCUACGGGAGGCAGCAGUGGGGAAUCUUGCGCAAUGGGCGAAAGCCUGACGCAGCCAUGCCGCGUGAAUGAUGAAGGUCUUAGGAUUGUAAAAUUCUUUCACCGGGGACGAUAAUGACGGUACCCGGAGAAGAAGCCCCGGCUAACUUCGUG
rnacentral:rRNA from 1 species